GCAUACUCUAGAUCCUGAUUCAUUUUAUUUUAAUAAAUAAAAUUACUGCCAAAUCCUAACAGAAAAAAUUUUACAAAUUUUAACUUAAUAGUGUAACCCAUCUCUUCUUUUAAAAGCUGCACCUUGAUUUGAUCUAAAAUAAAAUUUUAUUUAAAGAAAAUUAGCAUUCUUUAGAAAUAUUCAUUUCAACAACGAUAUACAAGCAAUAUAAAAGUAAAAUAAAUUGUGGACUAUCAAUUACAGGACAGGUUCCUCUGGUAGGUUCAAGUACCGCCAAGAUAUUUAAUUUUUAAGAACUUAACUAAUACUAAUCCGGUUUCAAUAAUCACGAUAUCAAUAACAGGGUAUCUAAUCCUGGUUUACAAUAACAUUUUCUCAGAUCAUCUCAUUUCUUAUCCUUAAUUUUUCUAUUAAAAUUUCACCUCUCAAUAUAACUACUCCAGAUUUUUAAUUAAUUAACUAAAACCACAAAAAUUAAAUAGCACCUUUUGUAUAACCGCA
rnacentral:rRNA from 1 species